AACCCAGUUGAUGUUCAUCGGACACUCUCAGGAAAAUUUAACUUUGAAUAGCAAUUUAGUAGGGCCGAGGUUUUACAACUUGAGACAGAUUGCUACCGGAGGCCCACCCCCGCGGCCCGGGUGAAGUUUAGGUGGUGGCUUCAGAGACGGCAGGCUUUCCGGUGGUUCCAGCUCAAGCAUCAUGACGGGGAAGAAGUCUUCCCGGGAGAAGCGGCGCAAAAGGAGCGGCCCAGAGCCCAGCGAGCACCGGAAGCGGCGGAGCAAGGACUCGGCCUCCCGGGUGCCGGGCUCGGCGCCGGAGGAAGCCAAAUAUCUUCUACCAACUUUGGAAAAAGAAUUAUUCUUGGCAGAGCACAGUGAUCUUGAAGAAGGUGGUCUGGACCUGACUGUGUCAUUAAAACCAGUUAGUUUCUACAUAUCAGACAAAAAAGAAAUGCUUCAGCAGUGCUUCUGUAUCAUCGGAGAGAAGAAGUUACAGAAAAUGCUGCCUGACGUGUUAAAGAACUGUUCAGUAGCAGAAAUUAAAAAAUUAUGCCAAGAACAGUUAGAACUCCUAUCUGAAAAAAAAAUAUUGAAGAUUCUUGAGGGUGACAAUGGUAUGGACUCUGAAAUGGAAGAGGAGGCAGAUGAUGGCUCGAAGAAGGGAUCUGAUUUAGUCAGUCAACAAGACAUCUGUACAGAUUCUUCUUCAUCCCUGAAAGAGAACAAGCAACCUGAAGGUCUGGAAUUAAAACAAGGCAAAGGGGACGAUAGUGAUGUUCUCAGUAUACAUGCAGAUGCUUAUGACAGCGACAUAAAAGGCCCAUGCAAUGAAGAGGCCGCUGCUCCUGAGGUCGCAGAAAAUACAGUCCAGAGUGAAGCUGGUCAGAUAGAUGAUCUGGAGAAAGACAUUGAGAAAAGUGUGAAUGAGAUUCUGGGACUGGCAGAGUCUAGCCCAAAGGAGCCCAAAGCAGCUACCCUAACUGUUCCUCCACCAGAAGAUGUUCAGCCUUCUGCACAGCAGCUGGAGCUGCUAGAACUUGAGAUGAGGGCAAGAGCCAUUAAAGCCCUGAUGAAAGCUGGUGAUAUAAAAAAGCCAGCCUAAUUAUUUAAUUUGAACCUGAAUUUUAGGUGUGUUUGAACAAAGCCACAUGAUAUGACUUUGUAUCUGAAAUUUAUUUGGGUCUUACAUGAUAUUUCUCAUGUAACCCUUGUUAGAUAAACUCAAUCUAGACCUAAAA